AAACAGUCACCCGCUGCACCAGGACCAGAAAGACAGGGAAGUCUCCAGGCUUUGCAGCGCCCUUUCAGGGCAGCGUCUGGGUAAGCCAGGCUUACUGAGAGCCCGCAUGGAACAUUUUUAUAAGUGGGGAAGCCAGCUCGGCCCAGCAGACCACACCGAGGUUCCCCGUGUGCCAGGAACAUGGGAUAUUGAAUGACAUCCAGGCCAUGCACCUGGGCAACAGAAGGUGACAACACCACAGGCCACCAGCGAGCUGGGGCCCUGGGGACCCUGGCAUCCUCCCCGUCAUUUGCAUCUAAAAGGUUUGGAGAAGAGUGAGUUAGACAAGCUGUUGGCUACAGGAAACCCUGAAAUCACCUCAGGAGAGAGAAGAAGGGGCAGCCUCCCCCGUGCCUGGGAUACAGAAAGGGCACAGCCAGUUCUCGGGACACUUGCCAGGCAGCCAUCCAGCCUGGAAGCAUCCUGCCACCAUGAUGUCAAGCAGUCCAAACUCCAGAAGGCACCGGAGGUUCAGACCCCAAGCGCUGUAUCAGCCAACCCAUACUGACCGGGAAGCACCGGGAGCCUAUGCAGCCUCCGUGUACUCUGCCACCCAGUGAGUCGAUGGUAUGCAGUGGGGCAGCUUGCAUUAUUUAGAAGCAUAAUCAGCUGAUGAGAAAGCCAAGGCUUUGACAGAUGAAGCAAUACCCUUUGUUACACCACAGAUUAUACUCUGGGAAGCACUCCUCCAGAGUUCUCAGCUAAGGAGUAGGCAUUCCAGAAACCUCACGGGUUAGUUCUGAGCGUGAUGGGGGUGAGUGCGGGCUGGAAGAACGAAGUCUUCCUGGCUUCCUGAAUGCUAGUGUCUUUGGCCCACACCACCGAGCUCCUCUGGGCAGCAUCACAUCUGCAAGACCAUUGUGGUCAUUUCACAGGCUAAAUAAGGUGCCAAGUGCCAAAACCCUAAAGAGGGGGCAUGGGAUUGAAAACAGCUGACACUCUCUUUUCCAAUGAACGUAGGAGCCUUGGAAAAAAAUGCAGCUACCGAUCGUUGUUUCUACAUAGAACAAUGUUUGUGCCUCCCCUGGAGCUGGUUCAGAGGACAGACCCCACCCCAUGGCUUCAUUUGGAUUGGUGUGUAUCUAAUUUCAAAUUAGAGGGACAUUCAAAGCUAUUCAAAGUCCUAAGUCAUGAAUAGGGAUGGACCCCAGCAAUGCAGGGGAUGAGCAAGCAGGUUCCUUGGGCCCUCAGUCCUUCAUGCAGACAGGGGUGUACUGCCUUCUAUUGGCUGGGCUAAGGACAGGGCGAGAAGAAAAGAGUAAUAAUAACUCAAGGUCCCUACUUCAAGUGAAAAUCCAUCAAUCUCUCUCUCUGGUCUUGAAACAACUUUGUUCCCUCCUCAGUAAACAAGGGAGCUGAUAUCGUGACAUUGUCUUCCCCUAUUAAAAACACUCAGCCUGGGGCCUUUUAUACCCUCAACAUUUUUUUCAAACUAAUUGCCAGUUCCACUCCUGGACUCAAGUUUUAAACAACAGGUAUAUCAACAGGUCAAAACAAAUGCCAGUGAUGCAACAAGG